rnacentral:antisense_RNA from 1 species
UUGAUGGUGAACUCCCACUCGCCCUGCGGGCCGGCGAGCACCUGGCCGCCGAAGUGCUCCCCGUCGGCCAGCGUGCCGAGCACGGUCUGGGUGCCGUACUCGCCCUGGCCGAUCUUGUUCACCUUGCCGUGCGCGAUGAGGUAGACCGAGUCCUGCGGCUGUCCGGACUCCACCAGCACCGCGCCCGGCUCGAACUCGCGCUGCUCGAAGCGGUCGGCCAGCGCGGUGAGCGCUUCGACGUCCUCGAAACCGCGCAGCAGCCCCAGUUCGGUGAGUUCCUGGGGGAUGACCCGCACGUCCGCGCCGAUGUUGGUGAACGUCAGCCGCCCGUCGCCGACGUUGUAGCUGAGCCUGCGGUUGACCCGGAAGGCACCGCCCUUCGCCUCCACCCAGGGCAGGAUCUUGAGCAACCACCGGGAGGUGAUGCCCUGCAUCUGGGGCACGGACUUGGUCGUGGUCGCGAGGUUCCGCGCCGCAGCCGUGCCGAGGCUGAGCCGAGGUCGCUCGG